CUAACCGGUUGUUAGCCUGUUCUCUGACCUAUGACCUUAGCCACUCCCUCCCCUCCCCACACUCUCUUAUGAAAGUUUUGAUGGGGUUCCACGGACUCUCGCUUGGGCAGUACUAGAGCGGGGAUCUUGUUUCCAGAAUGGCACAGAAGUAGACACAAAACGGUUUCUCUACAUUUUUCCAAAACAUGUUCACGUGCAAGGCAGAGACGUGACCUGAGCCGCGUCCCCAGACGCAUCCUCAUAGGUGGAGAGUCUUGGCACCGCUCGGACGGGAUAGGCUACCAGGGUCGUAUCAGCCAAUCGAGGUGCCCGGAAGGCGUUUUGAUCCCGCCUUUCCCUCCUCCCGCUCAGGAAUUUAGGGGGAAUUUCUUGCCUAUAGCUGGCCCAGCACGUGGGAGAAGAAGAAAACAAUGAUGGGAACCUCUAAGGACCUCAUCUCUCCAGAGAGCCUGAAGGAUUUGGAAGAAAUAACUUGUGCUUCCCAGUUGCCAGAAGGACCAAUCCUUGAACCUAAAGGAGGAAGGUACAAUGCCAAGCUCUACCUAGAUAUCUCAUUUAAUUCUCCUAACCCCUGGCAGAGCUUGGUCUUCAGAUCUUGCCCAGUGGAGACCAGCUAGUCUCAGAUGAGAAAGCUGUUGGAAUUUGCCGAAUGACUCAGAAAGGUCAGCCGCCUGCUCAUCCAUCCGACAUGACAGAAGACGCGGAGGAGGGAGACUUUCUCGCUGCAAAGGGGCUGCCCCGGCCAAUGGAAUCUGGGGCCCUUCUGUGGGUCUGGCCCUACCAACAUCUGACACUGUGAAUGAAUCCCUUGCCUUGGUUUCCCCCCAAACAAAAGGCACUCUUGCAUUCAGGAUGAUGAAAUGAAAUUGACAUCUCCAUGGAGAUGGGCCAUCCACAGAAGCUAUGAUUUUCCAGCCAAGUCUGCUUCUCCUUAGCUCAGAGAGGACAACCCACCCACCAUUCUCUGCCCAAUUGCGGGUCAGACACAUGGAGGUUGUCCCUGACACUUCUGUUGCUCAUGCUCAAUCAGUCCCCCAGUCUUAUUGAUUUUACCUCUAAAUAUACACUCUCCAUUUCCACGGACAAAAUCCAGUCAACCUUUACCUCUCACCUAUUGUGACGUCCUCAUCCUCCAGCCUUUACUUCACUCUGCACAUGCAAGCCAGCCUAGUUUUUCAUGUCAACUUUAUCAAGAACAUUUUACAUAAAAGAAAAUGUACUCAGUUAAAGCGGAGUUUGGGCAAAUAUAUACACCUGUGUAACCACCACUAUAUCAAGAUAUAGGACAUUUUUUAUUUUUUUAGGGCAGUUUUAGAUUCAUAGCAAAAAUGAGAGGUAAGUACACAGAUGUCCAAUAUUCCCCGGCCUAUACCCAGUGCAUAGCCUCCUCUCUACCACCAGCAUCCCCACCAGAGGGAUACAUUUGUUACGGUUGAUGGACCGACAUUGACACAUCAUUAUCACCUGAAGUCCACAGUUUACAUGACCGUUCACUCUUGGUGUUGUGGAUUCUGGGGGUUUGGCCAAAUGUAGAAGGGCAUGUAUCCACCAUUAUCAUAGCAUACAGGAGAAUUUCACUGCUCUAAAGAUCCUCUGUGCUCCACAUAUUCAUCCUCCCCCCGUCUGACCACUGACCAUUCACUUUUGGACUAUCUCCAUAGUUUUGUCUUUUCCAGGAUGUCAUAUAAUGGGAAUCAUACAGUAUGUGGCCUUUUCAGAUUGGCUUCUUUUACUUGGUAAUAUGCAUUGAAGUUUUCGCCAUGUCUUUUCAUGGCUGGAUAGCUCAUUUCUUUUUAUCACUGAAUAAUAUGCCAUCGUUAGUUGAGUAGUGUCAGUCCUCCUCCUUCACAAUUGGGUUGUCUAAUCUGGGUCUUUUGCCUUUCCAUAUAAACUCUGGAAUCAGUUUGAUCCCUUAGAUAUCAGUGGUAUGGGACAUCUAGAGUGGGUUGGAGUGGGGUAUUUCCUUUCCCCCCGACAAAAGCACCAAGGGAUUUUUCUCUCAUAUUCACUAGUAGAGCUCCAGGAGGUAAAGUAACAAAAACGAAUAUGACUAACCUCCCCCCAUGACUGGUCCCUCUGGAGUUUUUAACUCUUAAUUAGACUUGGCCACACUGAGCCUCUGGCUUUUUGUCAACUAUAGUUCGGGUUUCCCUGUCCUUACGCUGGUUCCCGCCAAGGUUUCUGUUCCUGGGUUUCUGCUCGGGUAGGUUGGGAUUCUCUGUGUCCACCUGUCUGUCUCUCAACUUGGGGGGCAGCAGUUUUCCCUGUGACCUCACUUCUCUGAUGAAUCUAAAAAGAAUUGUUGAUUUUUCAACUUAUUCAGCUUUUUAUUUGUUAGGACAGAGUAGCUAUUUCCAAGUUUCUUUCGUGCCAGACUAGAAACCAGAGUCUUAAGGCAUUUCCAUCACCUGAAAAAGUGCACUGUUCCCUUGUGUCCCUUCCCUGUUCAGCUGCCCUGCCGCAGCCCCCCAGCAACCACCGAUCUAACUCGCUGUCAGUAUAGGUGACUCUUGUCUGUUCUAGAAUGUCAAAUAAUCAGAUUACAUAGUAUGUAGUAUCUGUGCCUCACUUCUUUCACUCAGCAUAACUUAGCUUCAUCCAUGUUGCUAAGUUUAUCAAUACUUUAUUCCUUUUCAUUGCUGCGCCCUUUGGUUUUGAUAGACCACCAUUUGUAUAGUCAUUCACCUAUUAACUUGGGUGUUUCCAGCUUUAGGGUAUUAUGAAUAAUGCUGCUGUGAAUAUUUGUCUACAAGUCUCUGUGUAGGUGUGUGUUUUUGUUUGUCCUAGGCAAACACCUAGGAAUGGAAUGGCCAGAUUAUAUAGUAACUAUUUAUCUUUAUAAGAAGGGACCAAAGAGUUCCCCAAAGUGGCGAUAACAUCUGUGUUCCCAACAUCAAUGCUGAGAGUUCCAAUUAAUCCACCUCCUCGUCAUCUAUU